rnacentral:rRNA from 1 species
UACGAACUGUGCGAACGUUAUUCGGAAUCACUGGGCUUACAGGGUGCGUAGGCGGCUAUUCAGGUCAGGUGUGAAAGCCCCCGGCUCAACCGGGGAACUGCACUUGAAACCGAGUGGCUCGAGUCAGCUAGAGGUACACGGAACUUCCAGUGGAGCGGUGAAAUGUGUUGAUAUUGGAAGGAACACCGGAGGCGAAAGCGGUGCACUGGGGUUGGUCUGACGCUGAGGCACGAAAGCCAGGGGAGCGAACGGG